UCUCUAUACUUAAUGAUUCAUUAUCAAUUAAGUGGACUGACGGAUGUAUGCUUUAUAUCAUGUCGGAGUUAGAUAUUUCCGAGGUAUUUAAUAUGUUUGAUAUAUUCCUUGCCCUCUUAAAGAAUCCUGCUGUAAGACAAGAUCUAAAUGUCAACAAUGUUACUAAAGCAUUCCACUGUGCUCUAUUUAUCGAAUCUACAAUUGCUAAUGUAAUUGAAAUUGGUAAGGAAAAUGUUCUCGAGUGUCAUCUGCAUAAUCAUUGGCUAAAAGAGAAUAAUUUUAAUUCAUAUAAAUGCUUGGACUUCAAAUAUGCCUGUGAUAAAUUAUUAGAAGUUUGUUUAAAAGAUCCAACUGUUUCAACAGAUACUAUAGAUGAAUUUCUGAGAUUAUAUACUGAAUAUUGCGGUUCCGACAGACUAAAUGCUUCCCUUAGAAGUAUUGUAAUUAAUGGAGUUUCUACUAACAUCGUCGUAGACUCAUUACAAAAGCUAGGAGUAUCAAUCUCUGAUAUGAAGAACGAAGCUUUGAUCUUAUCUUGGGAAUUACAGCUUAGCAGUAACAAUAAACACGAAAUUUCAGAGUGUAUAGGAAAAAUGUUUGAUGAUGGUUUUCAUUUAGAAUUAAUUCGAUUUGCUGUUAAUUCAUACAACAACAGCAAAAUUUUACACUUGAUAGUUCAACAAUUAUCCAACAAACUUACGGAAAAUGAUGCAAAAGUUUGCAUAGCAUUUGCGAAUCUCGAUAAGAAAUCUCUUUGGUCACUAAUGGAAAGUAAUGCAGGGCUGUAUGCCAAUUUUCUUGAUGCUAUAUUUUAUUUUGCACGUCAUAUGACAGAAGUCCACACUCAUGGAACAUGUGGUUUUGAAUAUGAACACCUUCUCAAGGUAGUGAGAAUAUUGCUAAAUGGUCCUAAUAAAAUCUCAGAAAAGAUAUAUAACAGAAUGCAAUUAGUUAAAGCACAUCCCAAUGGUACAAUAUGGAAUAAAGUUGAAAAAUCUAUCGGAUGACUCAGCGUGCCAAAUAACACUCCUUUCACUGCUGUAUUAAAAUUUAUUGCUGAAGAAUUUAAAGUUUCACCAUCCACAUCCGCAAUAAUUACAGAUGAUGGAAUAGGUAUUAAUCCGCAGCAAACAGCAGGAAACGUUUUUCUGAAA